rnacentral:rRNA from 1 species
GCAAGUCGAACGAGAAAGUUCCUUUCGGGGGGCGAGUACAGUGGCGCACGGGUGAGUAACACGUGGAUGAUCUGCCCUGAAAUGGGGGAUAACAGUUAGAAAUAGCUGCUAAUACCGCAUAAGCUGAGCAAUUUUGGAAGUAGCUCAGGAAAGAUGGCCUCUACUUGUAAGCUAUCGUUUUAGGAAGAGUCUGCGUACCAUUAGUUUGUUGGUGGGGUAAUGGCCUACCAAGACUUCGAUGGUUAGCCGGUCUGAGAGGAUGAUC